UACGGGAGUGGCAAGCGUUAUCCGGAAUCAUUGGGCGUAAAGCGUCCGCAGGUGGCUUUGUAAGUCUGCUGUUAAAGCGUGGAGCUUAACUCCAUUUCAGCGGUGGAAACUACAAAGCUUGAGUGUGGUAGGGGCAGAGGGAAUUCCCGGUGUAGCGGUGAAAUGCGUAGAUAUCGGGAAGAACACCAGUGGCGAAGGCGCUCUGCUGGGCCAUAACUGACACUCAUGGACGAAAGCCAGGGGAGCGAAAGGG
rnacentral:rRNA from 1 species